GAUGAAGAACGCAGCGAAAUGCGAUACUUGGUGUGAAUUGCAGAAUCCCGUGAACCAUCGAGUCUUUGAACGCAAGUUGCGCCUCAAGCCAUUAGGUUGAGGGCACGUCUGCCUGGGCGUCACAUAUCGUUGCCUGAUGCCAGUUUCCUCGUGAUGGGUGACUGUGCAGGGCGAAUGAUGGCUUCCCGUGAGCAUUGUUGCCUCAUGGUUGGUUGAAAAUUGAGUCCUUGGUAGGGAGCGCCGUGAUAGAUGGUGGUUGAGUGACGAACGAGACCCAAUCAUGUGAGACCCCUACCGAAUUUGGCCUUCAUGACCCACAUGCGUCUUUGGAACGCUCAUGACGAGACCUCAGGUCAGGCGGGGCUACCCGCUGAGUUUAAGUAUAUCAAUAAGCGGAGGA
rnacentral:misc_RNA from 1 species